rnacentral:tRNA from 1 species
UCGUUAUCGCGGUAUUGGCAGCCAUCGCCGUUGCGGGGCGGGCGGCGUUUUUCAUGCUGCCGCAGUUCAAACCUGUGGUGGCGAUC